rnacentral:rRNA from 1 species
AUAGGGGAGCCGUAGGGAAACCGAGUCUUAACUGGGCGAAUAAGUUGCAGGGUAUAGACCCGAAACCCGGUGAUCUAGCCAUGGGCAGGUUGAAGGUUGGGUAACACUAACUGGAGGACCGAACCGACUAAUGUUGAAAAAUUAGCGGAUGACUUGUGGCUGGGGGUGAAAGGCCAAUCAAACCGGGAGAUAGCUGGUUCUCCCCGAAAGCUAUUUAGGUAGCGCCUCGUGAACUCAUCUUCGGGGGUAGAGCACUGUUUCGACUAGGGGGUCAUCCCGACUUACCAACUCGAUGCAAACUACGAAUACCGAAGAAUGUUAUCACGGGAGACACACGGCGGGUGCUAACGUUCGUCGUGAAGAGGGAAACAACCCAGACCGCCAGCUAAGGUCCCAAAGUCAUAGUUAAGUGGGAAACGAAGUGGGAAGGCUCAGACAGCCAGGAUGUUGGCUUAGAAGCAGCCAUCAUUUAAAGAAAGCGUAAUAGCUCACUGGUCGAGUCGGCCUGCGCGGAAGAUGUAACGGGGCUAAACUAUGCACCGAAGCUGCGGCAGCGAUAUGUAAAUAUUGUUGGGUAGGGGAGCGUUCUGUAAGCCUGUGAAGGUGUGCUGUGAGGCAUGCUGGAGGUAUCAGAAGUGCGAAUGCUGACAUAAGUAACGAUAAUGCGGGUGAAAAACCCGCACGCCGGAAGACCAAGGGUUCCUGUCCAACGUUAAUCGGGGCAGGGUGAGUCGACCCCUAAGGCGAGGCAGAAAUGCGUAGUCGAUGGGAAACGGGUUAAUAUUCCCGUACUGGUGAUAAUUGCGAUGGGGGGACGGAGAAGGCUAGGCUAUCCGGGCGACGGUUGUCCCGGUUUAAGGAUGUAGGCAGGUGAAUUAGGCAAAUCCGGUUCACUAUAUGCUGAGGU